UACGGAGGGUGCAAGCGUUGUCCGGAUUCAUUGGGUUUAAAGGGUGCGCAGGCGGGACAUUAAGUCAGGGGUGAAAGACGGUUGCUCAACAAUCGCAGUGCCUUUGAUACUGGUGUUCUUGGGUGAUCUUGAGGUAGGCGGAAUGGGUGGUGUAGCGGUGAAAUGCAUAGAUACCACCCAGAACUCCGAUUGCGAAGGCAGCCUACUGGAGGUUUACCGACGCUCAGGCACGAAAGCGUGGGGAUCAAACAGG
rnacentral:rRNA from 1 species